rnacentral:rRNA from 1 species
GUAGGUGGCAAGCGUUGUCCGGAAUUAUUGGGCGUAAAACGCGCGCAGGCGGUUCUUUAAGUCUGAUGUGAAAGCCCACGGCUCAACCGUGGAGGGUCAUUGGAGACUGGAGAACUUGAGUACAGAAGAGGAAAGCGGAAUUCCACGUGUAGCGGUGAAAUGCGUAGAGAUGUGGAGGAACACCAGUGGCGAAGGCGGCUUUCUGGUCUGUAACUGACGCUGAGGCGCGAAAGCGUGGGGAGCAAACAGGAUUAGAUACCCUGGUAGUCCACGCCGUAAACGAUGAGUGCUAAGUGUUAGGGGGUUUCCGCCCCCUUAGUGCUGCAGCUAACGCAUUAAGCACUCCGCCUGGGAGUACGGCCGCAAGGCUG